UGCUAUCACUAGAAAUCCACAAUCCGUCUGAUCGUCUUCUUCUGAACCUCCUUUGAAACGUCACAUUUCCACAUUCAUGAAUCUUAAAACCCCAUUAUUAACUGCAACAAUCAAUGGCUAUUCAACUCUUACCCUUCCCUAAAACUUAUAGCUACAUAUACCUCUUCUCCAAAUCUCUGCGUUUCUGACUAAUUCUCCACAACGAAAUCAUCAGAGAGUGGAAAUCAAUCGCUGCCAGUUCCUGCCGGUUUACAAUCUCAGGUUCGAUGGUUUUCAUAUACUGCCUUGGAAACUCAGGUCUUCUUUAAUCCAGAGAUAUACAGCAAUGACUAUAUAAUCCAGUCUGCACCAAUUGACACUCGAAGAGCUUUGUAUAAGGUCUGAUACACAGAGUGCUCGCCUGCUCGGGGAUACUUAAGACUCUUUGCAAUACGUGAGAUAUGAUGAAAAUCUGGGCAAUGCGUGAGAAAGUUCUGGCACUCGGAGCGGUACAAGGAUGACCUUCGUUAUCUCAAAGUCUGGUUGGAACAUGCGGAGCAUUGCGCUGAUGCUGAAGUGAUUUACAAGUUCUUGGAAGUUAAUGAUAUUCGGAAGACACAUGCUUUGUACUACAUAGCUUACGCAUUGUACAUGGAGUUCAAGGGUAAGGUGAAGUAGGCUAAUGAGAUCUUCAAUCUAGGAAUCUCUAGAAAUGCAAAGCCUGUGGAGAAGUUGAAUGAUGCUCACAAGAAGUUCAUGGUGAGAACUAUGAGUUGGUCCAUAACAGUUGAUGAUCUAAGACGUUUCUUCUCUAUUUCCACAUGAUGAUUAAUGUUUAUUUUUAUUUUUAGAAAGCAACUGGUGAUAUGUAGAAGAUCGAAUAUAAGGAAAAUUAAUUAAGAAACGUCUUUGACGUUCUGUGUUCAUA